AUUGAACGCUGGCGGCAUGCCUUACACAUGCAAGUCGAACGGCAGCACGGGGCAACCUGGUGGCGAGUGGCGAACGGGUGAGUAAUGCAUCGGAACGUACCUUUCAGUGGGGGAUAACGUAGCGAAAGUUACGCUAAUACCGCAUAUUCUGUGAGCAGGAAAGCAGGGGAUCGCAAGACCUUGCGCUGAUUGAGCGGCCGAUGUCAGAUUAGCUAGUUGGUGAGGUAAAGGCUCACCAAGGCGACGAUCUGUAGCGGGUCUGAGAGGAUGAUCCGCCACACUGGAACUGAGACACGGUCCAGACUCCUACGGGAGGCAGCGGUGGGGAAUUUUGGGCAAUGGGGGCAACCCUGAUCCAGCCAUGCCGCGUGAGUGAAGAAGGCCUUCGGGUUGUAAAGCUCCUUCGGCCGGGAAGAAAUCGCACGGGCUAAUACCCUGUGUGGAUGACGGUACCGGAAUAAGAAGCACCGGCUAACUACGUGCCAGCAGCCGCAGUAACAC
rnacentral:rRNA from 1 species